rnacentral:rRNA from 1 species
GACGAACGCUGGCGGCGUGCUUAACACAUGCAAGUCGAACGGAAAGGCCCUGCUUUUGUGGGGUGCUCGAGUGGCGAACGGGUGAGUAACACGUGAGUAACCUGCCCUUGACUUUGGGAUAACUUCAGGAAACUGGGGCUAAUACCGGAUAGGAGCUCCUGCUGCAUGGUGGGGGUUGGAAAGUUUCGGCGGUUGGGGAUGGACUUGCGGCUUAUCAGCUUGUUGGUGAGGUAGUGGCUUACCAAGGCUUUGACGGGUAGCCGGCCUGAGAGGGUGACCGGCCACAUUGGGACUGAGAUACGGCCCAGACUCCUACGGGAGGCAGCAGUGGGGAAUAUUGCACAAUGGGCGGAAGCCUGAUGCAGCAACGCCGCGUGCGGGAUGACGGCCUUCGGGUUGUAAACCGCUUUCGCCUGUGACGAAGCGUGAGUGACGGUAAUGGGUAAAGAAGCACCGGCUAACUACGUG